GGGGGCCUGCGGUCAAGCCCGGAUGCCCCCUGAACUUAAUCAUAUCAAUAAGCGGG
rnacentral:rRNA from 1 species